rnacentral:tRNA from 2 species
UAGAAUUUGGUGUAUUUGGGAGCACGAAGAGUUUUGGAUUCUUAGGGGUAGGUUCAAUUCCUAUAAUUCUAG